rnacentral:rRNA from 1 species
AUUGAACGCUGGCGGCAGGCCUAACACAUGCAAGUCGAACGAGUGGCGGACGGGUGAGUAAUGUCUGGGAAACUGCCCGAUGGAGGGGGAUAACUACCGGAAACGGUAGCUAAUACCGCCUACCAUCGGAUGUGCCCAGAUGGGAUUAGCUAGUAGGUGGGGUAACGGCUCACCUAGGCGACGAUCCCUAGCUGGUCUGAGAGGAUGACCAGCGACACUGGAACUGAGACACGUUCCAGAUGCCUACGGGAGGCAGCAGUGGGGAAUAUUGCAUAAUGGGCGCAAUCCUGAAGCAGCCAUGCCGCGUGUAUGAAGAAGGCCUUCGGGUUGUAAAGUACUUGCAGCGAGGAGGCGUUACUCGCAAAAGAAGCACCGGCUAACUCCGGGCCAGCAGCCGCGGUAAUAC